rnacentral:misc_RNA from 1 species
AAGUCGUAACAAGGUUUCCGUAGGUGAACCUGCGGAAGGAUCAUUAUCAAAUUGAGAAUCUUUAUAUUCUUAAACCCCUUCUGUGUACUUGUACUUGUUGCUUUCAUGGGCAGUAAGCAUCAUGCUUGCGUUUGCCUCUAUGUGGCGAACCCAUGAAAGGUUUAUUUGAACUCCGUUAUUUUGUGAUAUCAGUCUGAGCAUGUGAAUUUAUUAAACGUCAAAACUUUCAACAACGGAUCUCUUGGUUCUC